rnacentral:rRNA from 1 species
UACGAGAGGCCCAAACGUUAUUCGGAAUUACUGGGCUUAAAGAGUUCGUAGGCGGCGCGGCAAGUGGGGUGUGAAAGCCCUCGGCUCAACCGAGGAAUUGCGCUCCAAACUACCGUGCUUGAGGAAGCUAGAGGUGAGCAGAACUGAUGGUGGAGCGGUGAAAUGCGUUGAUAUCAUCAGGAAUACCGGAGGCGAAGGCGGCUCACUGGGGCUUUUCUGACGCUGAGGAACGAAAGCCAGGGUAGCGAACGGG